UGGGGCAGUGCCUACUUUGGAAGAUGCUGCAGCCUGCGAGGGGAUCUGCUGGGGCUUCCCCUUCGCCACACAGAAGCCUGCUUAGUGCUUUCUGCACCAGACAACCUGUUGAGGCGUAUAACCUGAUCUGUACAUUUUUUUAAGUGUGCAGGGCAGCCUGGACACAGCUUAGCGUUCUACGUGUAUAGUUCUCCAUGCUCACUAACUCUCCUUCUCUGGGAAGCAGAUGUACAUACUACAUACAUGUCACAUACUACAUACAUGUCAUGUACUACACACAUGUCAUAUAGUACAUACAUGUCAUGUCCAUUUAACGACUGGUCACCUGCUGGGGACCCAGGCAUCUGCCUUGUUUUCCUUUUUCUUUCAGUUUUGGACUUUGGACCCUGCACAGCCGUUCCCCAGGGUCUGAAACUUACCUGUCACGCACAGGUAGAGCAGUGCUAGCUAGCAUUACUGGCUUCCUGCUACUUUUUCGUUUUUUUAAAUUUUUUAUUCUGAUUGCUGUAUUAUAUUGGGGAUGUUCUAAACAACCAAACUAAAGCUGUGUACAGAUUGGGUUUGGAGCGGUGGGGACGUCAGCAGGAAACGCCAGUGCUUUGCUGCCUGAUUGACAGGAAUUUGCUGUCCUUGACACUCCACACAUUGUGUUCCUCACGUGUGGGACAGGACACAGAGCUGACUGAGCGUGGGACACUCCACAGCCUUCUCAUGACUUGUGAAGGAGGUUCACAGGAACGAGGGGUAUGUUUUAGAGCUAUGAGAACCUAGUCAGCCCACAGAGGCGUCAAACCUGAAGCUUGGGCCUUAAUUAGCAUUGUACUCUGAUGAAAGGACUCUUUCAUAAGCAUAUUUAUAGCUUUCUAAUCUAUACACAGUCUAUCCAUAGAUGCAUAUUUUACCCCAACUGGCUAGAGAUUUAUUUGUUGUAAAUGCUGUAUAGAUUUUGGGUUUUUUUUUUUUGUUCUUCCUCUCUUCACUUAUACUGGUGUGGGGUUUGUUUUAGUUUUCUUUAGUGAAUUUAUGCUGUUUUGGGGGGCGGAUUGAGAAGAAUCUUCCGUAGCCUGAGCUGUCCCUCCUGUUUUGACGGCACAUGUGCCAGUCAAGGGACAUGGGACAGUCGCGCCACUUUGCAUUCCCACGGGACUCAUGUACCUCCCGCAGAGCCGUCCCCGUCAAGGUGUGGGGCUCCUUUCAUGCAUUUGCUUCUUUUCCAGAGUGUGGAUUUGAACUACUUCCCCCUGCAAAGGGCCGCGUGCACCCUGCCGAGCUGCGUAUAUUCUGUACUGUGUACAAUAAAGAAGAUUGCUUUCCUUACGC
rnacentral:lncRNA from 1 species